rnacentral:snoRNA from 1 species
GGUCAGUGAUGUCAUGUAAAAGGUCUGAAUCUCAGAUCCCCCUCGUCGGCCAUUUUGGCUCCCAGCAGCCCCUGCUCUGUGCUCCCAUCAUGCUCUAGUUUUGCAGUGGUGGUCCCAGGAGCUGCUGACAGACAGGAUGUGACAUCACAGUGAGUCUGUACAGAGACCCUACAGGCUCAGUGUGAUGAUGACUGACAUCCAACAGAACCAUACAGUAUGGAGCGUGGGGCUGAGGGGGUGGGGCCUGAGUGCUGAUCUCACUCUUUUACUGAGACC